rnacentral:rRNA from 1 species
UACGUAGGGGGCAAGCGUUGUCCGGAAUUAUUGGGCGUAAAGAGCGCGUAGGCGGUCCGGUAAGUCGGCUGUGAAAGUCAAGGGCUCAACCCUUGAAAGCCGGCCGAUACUGUCGGACUAGAGUCCGGAAGAGGCGAGUGGAAUUCCUGGUGUAGCGGUGAAAUGCGCAGAUAUCAGGAAGAACACCCGUGGCGAAAGCGGCUCUCUGGGACGGUACUGACGCUGAGACGCGAAAGCGUGGGGAGCGAACAGGG